rnacentral:lncRNA from 1 species
UUAAUGAUAUUGCUUAGUGUGUAGUGUAGUUGGAUAGAAGGCCAAAAUGAAAAACAAAAUGGCCCUUCAAGUUUCAAACUGUAGUUUUCUUGUGAUUUGUAAUAAAACCCCCAUUCCCUAACCCUAAUCUGGAUAUCAACAUUGACCACGGUCCACGGUCAUAUCUCUACCUAAUAUUAAAAUAAGUAAGGUUUCUGCCUCCUUUUUUCCGUCCGUCCUGACAAGUGGGACCCACUUGUCAUAGGGCUCCGUCUCCUCCCGUCCGCCGCAUGCGCUCCGUCUCCUCCUGUCCGCCACCUGCGCGUCUCCCUCCCGUCCC